rnacentral:rRNA from 1 species
GGAUGAACGCUAGCGGCAGGCUUAACACAUGCAAGUCGAGGGGCAGCAUAGUAUGUAGCAAUACAUAUUGAUGGCGACCGGCGGAUGGGUGCGUAACGCGUAUGCAACCUACCUUUUACAGGAGGAUAACCUUUCGAAAGGGAGACUAAUACUCCAUAGUAUUAUUUAGAGGCAUCUUUAGAUAAUUAAAUAUUUAUAGGUAAAAGCUGGGCAUGCGUAUGAUUAGUUAGUUGGUAAGGUAACGGCUUACCAAGGCGAUGAUCAUUAGGGGUUCUGAGAGGAAGGUCCCCCACACUGGUACUGAGACACGGACCAGACUCCUACGGGAGGCAGCAGUGAGGAAUAUUGGUCAAUGGGCGGAAGCCUGAACCAGCCAUGCCGCGUGCAGGAAGACGGCCUUAUGGGUUGUAAACUGCUUUUAUGUGAGGAUAAUAUUCAUCUUGCGAGGUGGAAUGAAGGUAUCACAUGAAUAAGGAUCGGCUAACUCCGUGCCAGCAGCCGCGGUAAUACGGAGGAUCCGAGCGUUAUCCGGAUUUAUUGGGUUUAAAGGGUGCGUAGGCUGACUAUUAAGUCAGCGGUGAAAAGCUUGGGCUUAACUCAGGUCUUGCCGUUGAUACUGAUAGACUAGAAUAUAUAUGGAGUAGGCGGAAUGAAUCAUGUAGAGGUGACAUUCAUAGAUAUGAUUCAGAACACCGAUCGCGAAGGCAGCUUACUAAGAUAUAAUUGACGCUGAUGCACGAAAGCGUGGGUAUCGAACAGGAUUAGAUACCCUGGUAGUCCACGCUGUAAACGAUGAUAACUCGUUGUCGGCGAUACACAGUCCGGUGACCAAGCGAAAGCGAUAAGUUAUCCACCUGGGGGAGUACGAUCGCAAGGUUGAA